AAUAGCCAAAAAUAACAGAAGCACUUGUAGUUGGGUUAGUAAUUAUACGAACAUCUCCACCACCUGGUGCCCAAGUAUCAUAAACACCUCCAAAAUAUAAUGCUUUCCAAACUAAUAGCCAUGCUCCUAAUCCUAAAAUAAUAAGAUGAUAACCUAAAAUAUUUGUCAUUUUAUUUUUGUCUUUAAA
rnacentral:antisense_RNA from 1 species